AUUGAACGCUGGCGGCAGGCCUAACACAUGCAAGUCGAGCGGUAGAGAGGUGCUUGCAUCUCUUGAGAGCGGCGGACGGGUGAGUAAUGCCUAGGAAUCUGCCUGGUAGUGGGGGACAACGUUUCGAAAGGAACGCUAAUACCGCAUACGUCCUACGGGAGAAAGCGGGGGAUCUUCGGACCUCGCGCCAUUAGAUGAGCCUAGGUCGGAUUAGCUAGUUGGUGAGGUAAUGGCUCACCAAGGCGACGAUCCGUAACUGGUCUGAGAGGACGACCAGCCACACUGGAACUGAGACACGGUCCAGACUCCUACGGGUGGCAGCAGUGGGGAAGUUUUGGACAAUGGACGCAAGUCUGAUCCAGCCAUUCCGCGUGCAGGAUGAAGGCCCUCGGGUUGUAAACUGCUUUUGUACGGAACGAAAAGGUUUGUACUUAAUACGAUGAGCUCAUGACGGUACCGUAAGAA
rnacentral:rRNA from 1 species